CUAGCGACUUCAGAGUUUGAUCCUGGCUCAGGAUAAACGCUGGCGGCGCACAUAAGACAUGCAAGUCGAACGGAAGUCGUUAUUAAAAGGAUUGAGGAUUUAUCUGAUUGAUAUUUAAUAACAGUGGCUUUAGUGGCGGACUGGUGAGUAACGCGUAAGCAAUCUACCUGUUAGAGGGGGAUAACAAUGAGAAAUCAUUGCUAAUACCGCAUAUGCCAUAAUGGUCACAUGAUCAUAGUGGGAAGGGAGCAAUCCGCUAACAGAUGAGCUUGCGUCUGAUUAGUUAGUUGGUGAGGUAACGGCUCACCAAGACGACGAUCAGUAGCCGGACUGAGAGGUUGAACGGCCACAUUGGGACUGAGAUACGGCCCAG
rnacentral:rRNA from 1 species